UGUGUCUCAAUUCAGGGUCUGCAUCCUACCUCGGCCGGAUUCGUCGGCCGGUUACGUCACAGCGCCGCGACUCGGCCUGUCCCAAUUCGAAGACUCCUUCAAAUGCGGUCGACGAAUGCGGCCUUCUUUUCGCCUGAAUGAAGGAUGGGUCGGGUGUAUCCUUCAAUAGGUAGCAUUUCCCAAGAUGCCUUGCGGGCCGGCCGGCAGAAAAACUUAAAAACAAUGGCGGACAGUGAAGCGGGAGCUGUCGGAGAGGAUUGCGCAUAUAAAUGUAAGUAUAAACUUGAAAACUGUCAGUUUAAGGACUUUUUGUGAUACAUGAACGUUAUUUUAGUUAGAAAUGUUACAGUAAAAGUGCUUGUAUUGCGGUCUCGGCUCGUAUGUUCGGCCGCGCUCGGUGUCGUACUUCUCCCACUACGUUUCCCCCUGAUUUUAAUAGAAGUUUGUAUUUUAGGACCAAAAGAGAAAACCAGGGAAUUUAUUAAGCUUAGGGCGGAGAUGGACCACAUGAUCACCGGAGCAAAGUAUUCGGCGGCUGUGGCAUGGAGACUAUUCUGGAGAAAAUGGGCAUCCAGGGGAAGGUGCCAGCGAUGAGCUUCUGGAGCUGAUCUGGGAGGACAUGAGGCUGCAGAGCAGCAGAGAGCACAGGAGAGAAGGAAGAACUUUGACAGCUUUUUACUUUGCUAGAAAAAAAUGGUUAAUGAAGAUUAAACAUGUACAUAUAAAAGAAAUAUCUAAAUAAAAUCAGUUCUGCAUUAAA